rnacentral:rRNA from 1 species
CCUGCAGCCGAGCGGUAGAGAUUCUUCGGAUCUUGAGAGCGGCGUACGGGUGCGGAACACGUGUGCAACCUGCCUUUAUCUGGGGGAUAGCCUUUCGAAAGGAAGAUUAAUACCCCAUAAUAUACUGGAUGGCAUCAUUCGGUAUUGAAAACUCCGGUGGAUAGAGAUGGGCACGCGCAAGAUUAGAUAGUUGGUGAGGUAACGGCUCACCAAGUCUACGAUCUUUAGGGGGCCUGAGAGGGUGAUCCCCCACACUGGUACUGAGACACGGACCAGACUCCUACGGGAGGCAGCAGUGAGGAAUAUUGGACAAUGGGUGAGAGCCUGAUCCAGCCAUCCCGCGUGAAGGACGACGGCCCUAUGGGUUGUAAACUUCUUUUGUAUAGGGAUAAACCUAGAUACGUGUAUCUAGCUGAAGGUACUAUACGAAUAAGCACCGGCUAACUCCGUGCCAGCAGCCGCGGUAAUACGGAGGGUGCAAGCGUUAUCCGGAUUUAUUGGGUUUAAAGGGUCCGUAGGCGGAUCUGUAAGUCAGUGGUGAAAUCUCACAGCUUAACUGUGAAACUGCCAUUGAUACUGCAGGUCUUGAGUGUUGUUGAAGUAGCUGGAAUAAGUAGUGUAGCGGUGAAAUGCAUAGAUAUUACUUAGAACACCAAUUGCGAAGGCAGGUUACUAAGCAACAACUGACGCUGAUGGACGAAAGCGUGGGGAGCGAACAGGAUUAGAUACCCUGGUAGUCCACGCCGUAAACGAUGCUAACUCGUUUUUGGAGCGCAAGCUUCAGAGACUAAGCGAAAGUGAUAAGUUAGCCACCUGGGGAGUACGAACGCAAGUUUGAAACUCAAAGGAAUUGACGGGGGCCCGCACAAGCGGUGGAUUAUGUGGUUUAAUUCGAUGAUACGCGAGGAACCUUACCAAGGCUUAAAUGGGAAAUGACAGGUUUAGAAAUAGACUUUUCUUCGGACAUUUUUCAAGGUGCUGCAUGGUUGUCGUCAGCUCGUGCCGUGAGGUGUUAGGUUAAGUCCUGCAACGAGCGCAACCCCUGUCACUAGUUGCCAUCAUUAAGUUGGGGACUCUAGUGAGACUGCCUACGCAAGUAGAGAGGAAGGUGGGGAUGACGUCAAAUCAUCACGGCCCUUACGCCUUGGGCCACACACGUAAUACAAUGGCCGGUACAGAGGGCAGCUACACUGCGAAGUGAUGCAAAUCUCGAAAGCCGGUCUCAGUUCGGAUUGGAGUCUGCAACUCGACUCUAUGAAGCUGGAAUCGCUAGUAAUCGCGCAUCAGCCAUGGCGCGGUGAAUACGUUCCCGGGCCUUGUACACACCGCCCGUCAAGCCAUGGAAGUCUGGGGUACCUGAAGUCGGUGACCGUAACAG